rnacentral:rRNA from 1 species
GAUGAACGCUGGCGGCGUGCCUAAUACAUGCAAGUCGAGCGAACAGAUGAGGAGCUUGCUCCUCUGACGUUAGCGGCGGACGGGUGAGUAACACGUGGAUAACCUACCUAUAAGACUGGGAUAACUUCGGGAAACCGGAGCUAAUACCGGAUAAUAUAUUGAACCGCAUGGUUCAAUAGUGAAAGACGGUUAUGCUGUCACUUAUAGAUGGAUCCGCGCCGCAUUAGCUAGUUGGUAAGGUAACGGCUUACCAAGGCAACGAUGCGUAGCCGACCUGAGAGGGUGAUCGGCCACACUGGAACUGAGACACGGUCCAGACUCCUACGGGAGGCAGCAGUAGGGAAUCUUCCGCAAUGGGCGAAAGCUUGACGGAGCAACGCCGCGUGAGUGAUGAAGGUCUUCGGAUCGUAAAACUCUGUUAUUAGGGAAGAACAAAUGUGUAAGUAACUAUGCACGUCUUGACGGUACCUAAUCAGAAAGCCACGGCUAACUACGUG